rnacentral:rRNA from 1 species
AUGCGCAUGAAUGGGAUCGCCAACAAGCUGCGCACGCUCGGCGAGAACUUCGACGAGGUGAAGGUCGUGAAGAAGCUUCUCCGCAUUGUGCCGUCCAAGUAUACCCAGGUAGCUAUUGCCAUUGAGCAGCUUCUUGAUCUUAAAACCAUGUCCAUGGAAGAGCUUGUGGGAAGGCUCAAAAUGGCGGAGGACCGGAGCAAUUUGGACGAGGGCGCCAACAACUACGACCAGGGUGGUGGGAGUCGCCUGCUCCUCACGGAGGAGGAGUGGCUUGCUCGCUACCGCAGCGGCGCCGGCAAGAAGAAGAGAAACUUCGACAUCCGGAAGGUCCGCUGCUACACUUGCCAAGAGUAUGGGCAUUACUCGAGGGACUGCACCGAGCCGAAGAAGGAGCGGGCGCUUCUCGCCGACGCAACUGCCGACGACAACCCGGGGCUAUACCGAAGGUUGCCAUGGAGUUCCCAAUAA